ensembl:lncRNA
ACUUGGGUUCCGUGUCAUGCGUUGGCUACUCUGAAGACCCUGUGGAGGAUAAAAGCAGGAGAGAUGCUGCAGUAGGUGAAAAAGGAAAAGUGCACUUUGAAGCAGAGGAUGCCCUGCUGGCACUGUCUGUUGAAUCCACCACCCGCAUGUUCCUUCUCUCUCUUCUGUUUGGCAGCUUGACAUCUUCUAAGGGUCUGAAACUGUACCGUCACUCUAUUUCUCUACUGAGUUUCCCCCUAAUUCCCUGACCUCCUGACAACAAUAAACAACUGAAGCCUGCAAACAAGAUAUAAACUGAUGACAAAUUCUAGAACUUGAAGUGGAUUCAUCUGCAAGUAGGAUGCUUUAAGAAGUUUAGAAAGCACAGACGUUCACUCUGGAACUUGUGACUCAAAAAGAGGAUCUCCUGGAUGAGUGUGUUAAACUUUGUCCUCUACACAGAAAAUACCCAAGUGUACCUUACCAUCCUGAAUCUCAAAUCCAAGGCUAUCAGUGCUUGGAAGAACCUACGUGUUUAAAGUGAGUCAAUGAUAAGUUGCAAAAAUGAAGCCAACUGUUGUCUUGAAACCGGCACAUCUGAGAAUGCCUGGGCACCACAAAGUAUCUAAGACUUCUAAGACUUCUAAGGGAAGACCUCAGUUCUUUUGGAAAGGAGUGAUUGAUGUUACUUCCUUUUUUCUAUUCUACUAAGCAAGAAAAUGAUUCAACUAUAGAGGAAAUAACCUUACAGUUCAGUAUUUUUUUUCCCAAGGAUAUAAUUGGAAAAUAUACUUUUUUAAAAAAAGCAGAGACUUGCAUUGUGAAGAUUGCUGUUCUGACUGACCUGAUAGAUGAAUUACUGAAAGUCUGCAAAUUUAAAUGUAUGGACUAAAUAACUCAGAGCAAUAUAGACUCUCAGCUACAGAUCCUCAGAAGCAUAAUGGAAUCACAGAAUAACGGGUGGAAGGGAUGUCUGGAGGUCUCUAGUCAUACCCACUUAAUCAAAGCAGGUCUAAUGAGAUCGGACUGUCCUGUUCUGUUAUUGAACACCUUCAAGGAUGGAGAUCCCACCAACUGUCUGGAAAACCACUCAGUAUUUGACCACCCUCACUGUAAGAAAAAAAUUUUCCCUCAUGAGAAUUUUCAGUGUUCCAGAUUGUGGUUAGAUAAUGAAAUGAUACUGUAUUAUCAAGAAACUGAACAAUAAAUAAAUGAAACUACUGUUAUAUU